GAAGUACUUGAUGGUUGUCUUAAGAAUAAGAUUGAAAUCCCUUGGUCUGAUAUCAUGGCUCUCAAAGCUAACUACCCUGAUGAUGCACCUGGAACAAUGGAAGUUGUAGUAAGUAUCUCUCUUUUGUAGGACUUUAACCUUCUUUAACAAUAAUAGUUUGAUGUCAUGUAUUGACUUAGUUUUAGGACAGUGAGUAUAUGUAUUUAUAUACUUUUGUUUAGGCCCCACUAGAUUCUCAGAUAGACAGAAAAGGUUAAACGAUUCCGGAGAGUGACAACUGUGACAAUUGUUGGGAGUGACAACCCCACAUACCGAACAUACAAAUAUUUUUUACUUAAUUCAUUCUUUACUGAUAUUGGACUUUAACCUUCUUAUAGACCAUAAUAGUUUGAUGCCAUGUAUUGACCCAAAGUUUUGAGAUAAUGAGAAUGUCUCUUCUAGCUUAUAUACUUUUUACUUAAAUUUAUUCUUCACCAAUAUUGAACUUUGACCUUCAAGACUUGGAUUUCUAAUAUUUGUAAACCUCAUUCUUUAAUAAUUAUAGUCAACUAUAUAUCAUGCAUUGACCUAAAAUUUUAAGAUAAUGAGUUUAUGCCUUUAAGGGUUUCUUACUUAUAUUCUCUUUACUUAAUUCAUAUUUCACCAAUAUGAGACGCUUUGUUGAAGCGUUUCUCGAUAUUUUUGUUGUUACUAGAUUUAGGACCAUGCUAAGUUAGUGAUCUUGUUUGUUAUAGCUGUCUAGAAGACCCUUAUUUUUUAGGGAGAUCAAUCCACAACCAAGGAAGCAUACUUUGUGGCAGGCAACAUCGGACUUCACCGGCGGACAAGCUAGCAUACACAGGUACUAUAAGUGUUCUUCUUUCGGAAUCUAAUAAUUGAGUGGUGUUUUUACUUUAGAUUUGUUGGUGAAGCAAAAGCAACAUUAGUACUGAUGUAAUUCUUCGCUAUAUUGUUGCAGGCGACAUUUUAUGCAGUGUCCACAAGGAUUGUUGGGGAAGCAUUUUGAGAAGCUCAUUCAGUGUGAUCCGCGUCUCAACUUUUUAAGUCAACAGUCAGAUUCGGUGCUGGAUAGUCCUUAUUUUGAACCCGGAACUGACCGAAUGGAAUCAAGUAGUGGGUUUGAUAGAAAAAGUGAAGGGCAAACCAGUCUUUUCGGAUUGAAGGAUAUGGAUUCAGGAUCUGGAGUUCAACCUACUUCCUCAAAAAAUGAACAUAAUCUUCUUGGUAAAUCUGUUGAAAAUGUUCCCGGAGAAAUUGCUUCAACUAGCUCAGGUAAUUGCUGUGGACUUUAUAUAACAUUUAAAUUUAGCAUGCAUGUAAAUGCACCUCUUUAUUCUUUAAACAUACAACAUUUGCAUUGAUACUUUUAUAUACCAUAAUGUGUGAAGUUCUUGGGUUUUUCAUAAGGUUAAGUAUUUAGUAGCUAUAUUUGUUUCAAGGUUAACUGAAAAUGAUUCAGGAAAUGCUUAGUGUUUGGUUAAGCUGCAUGAAAUGUGAUUCAAUAUCCUUAUCCUAUACAUAUCUUAUGUUUUACUAUCACAAUUUGCAAAACAUAUCACGCGUGAAGAAAUCGUAAAUCGGUUCUGUAACCUGUAUCUUUUCUUGAGAUUUUUGCCAUUACACUAUAGAAUUAUAAUCAUACAGUAACGACAAUCACGCCUAUUUCCUACUAGGUAGGGUAGGCUAGAUGGAUCUAAUAUACAAUAAUAACAAUCAAUCUCCACAGAUAAACCAUCGAUAUAUAUAAAUCGUGCGUAAGAAUUUCAUAUAUAGAUUUUUUUGCUCUUUGUUAUGAUCAUUGAAAGCUUAUAUAUAAUGCCUUAUUUAUCAUAUGCAGUGAUGAACACUCAUGCAAUGAAGGAUUCCAGAAGUAGAGGUGCUGAAACAUUGAAGCUUCUUAGUAAUCUAGACCAAAUCAAAUUACCUGGACUUAACCCUUCAAUGUCGAUGAAUGAUUUAGUAAACCACAUCGGAAAUUGCAUUUUGGAACAAUGUGACAGCCAAUAUAACAGAUCCAUUUUAGAAGAAUUCACACAAUCUUUGUUCAAUGACACUCAGCUCAUAACAGCAGCUUCUGAUGAACAAUAUGUAAUGUCUAGAGUGAACUCAUUAUAUUCACUUCUACAAAAAGACCCUUCAAUAGAAGACACAACAAUGAUGAAUCAUAACAUUGACACUACUCAUGCAUCAAUAUCAGCAUCAUGCAAAAGCAAAGAGGUUGAAUUUGAAGGUCAGAAAGAUGAUGAUUAUGGUUUCAAGCAUGAAAGUGGAAUAUCUAGAAAGGAAUCAGUUGGUGAGUUGUUAAAUAAUCUUCCAAGAAUUGCAUCAUUGCCACAGUUUCUAUAUCACAUGCCUCAGGAUUCUGGUAGUAAUCAUGGUAGAUAAUGUGCUAAUGCAUGCAAGAGUGAAGAAAACUUUUGAUGCAGUUUUUCAACAGUGUGAAUAUUUUAUAUAACAGCUAUUUACUUGACUCUAGUGGGAUUCAGAAAUUCACAUUGAUGAAGAUUCCCUCUGAACAUAAUGGAAUGUCUCUAAGUUGAAAAGGAUGCAGCAUAAUCUGUGUUUUACUUCUUUUUUUGAAUGUGGAAACUCAUUUUAUUAAGGUUGUAGUUGAUGCUAUUUGAGGUAGUUUAAAUUUUGUGCAAGUUUUAUAAGUUUGAAACUGGCUUCAAAGCUUAAAAAAGAAUUUGGUUCAUAAUCUCCUCUUAUGAUAUGCUUUUAUUGAAUAAGUGUGUAUGGAAUAGGUGUUCAACUAGUUGUGUUCUGUAGUUUAAAAAAAAGCUUAUAGACAGGUGACAAGGGGGAAACAUAUUCCGUUAGAUUAAGUUUUUUACCUUAUAUAGAGUUUGAGUCUGAUAUGUUUACCUGAAAUUUUUUCAAAGUCUAAGUUUCACAUGUUUAAAAGUUGACUUGUUAGCCUAUUUAGAGGAUCUUAUACUAUAAGGUCUUGAAAUAGGUCAAUAUGUCUACAUUUAAAUAGGCUAAUAGAUCUAUUUUUAAUUAGAUUCUUCAUCCAAAGCUAACUACCCUGAUGAUGCACCUGGAACAAUGGAAGUUGUAGUAAGUAUCUCUCUUUUGUAGGACUUUAACCUUCUUUAACAAUAAUAGUUUGAUGUCAUGUAUUGACUUAGUUUUAGGACAGUGAGUAUAUGUAUUUAUAUACUUUUGUUUAGGCCCCACUAGAUUCUCAGAUAGACAGAAAAGGUUAAACGAUUCCGGAGAGUGACAACUGUGACAAUUGUUGGGAGUGACAACCCCACAUACCGAACAUACAAAUAUUUUUUACUUAAUUCAUUCUUUACUGAUAUUGGACUUUAACCUUCUUAUAGACCAUAAUAGUUUGAUGCCAUGUAUUGACCCAAAGUUUUGAGAUAAUGAGAAUGUCUCUUCUAGCUUAUAUACUUUUUACUUAAAUUUAUUCUUCACCAAUAUUGAACUUUGACCUUCAAGACUUGGAUUUCUAAUAUUUGUAAACCUCAUUCUUUAAUAAUUAUAGUCAACUAUAUAUCAUGCAUUGACCUAAAAUUUUAAGAUAAUGAGUUUAUGCCUUUAAGGGUUUCUUACUUAUAUUCUCUUUACUUAAUUCAUAUUUCACCAAUAUGAGACGCUUUGUUGAAGCGUUUCUCGAUAUUUUUGUUGUUACUAGAUUUAGGACCAUGCUAAGUUAGUGAUCUUGUUUGUUAUAG
rnacentral:lncRNA from 1 species